rnacentral:lncRNA from 1 species
CUGUUCAGAAGAGGCUACUGAAGGUUUUGGGGUACAUGUGCAGAACUUGGAACCAACCCAAAUGCCCAUCAA